UAAAAUUCAAGAAUGCUCAGAAGAAUAUUUCCAUGAAAAGAUACUGGAUGAAGCGCAAAUAUCAAGGAUAUUCCACUAAUUUCAUGGAGUAUAGAAGUCAAAGCUUUAACCAACUGAGUAUAACAGAAUAUAUGAAACUGCAAAUGGAUUUUCGCUCGCUAUGCGGUAAUCCACGUAGACAGAUCAUUUCCACAAUUUAAUAAGAAAUGAAUACGAAGGGUCAUUCACCAUGCAUGUGGUAAUCCACAC
rnacentral:lncRNA from 1 species